rnacentral:rRNA from 1 species
GAUGAACGCUCGCGGCAGGCUUAACACAUGCAAGUCGAGGGGCAGCGCGGGAUAGCAAUAUCCUGGCGGCGACCGGCGGAAGGGUGCGUAACGCGUGAGCGACAUGCCCGUUGCCCGGGGACAACCGGUGGAAACGCCGACUAAUCCCCGAUGGGAUACGAUGCUUCAUGGCAUUGUAUUGAAAGUUACGGCGGCGACGGAUUGGAUCGCGUCCGAUUAGCUGGUUGGCGGGGUAACGGCCCACCAAGGCUGCGAUCGGUAGGGGUUCUGAGAGGAAGGCCCCCCACAAUGGGACUGAGACACGGCCCAUACUCCUACGGGAGGCAGCAGUGAGGAAUAUUGGUCAAUGGGCGGAAGCCUGAACCAGCCAUGCCGCGUGCGGGAAGGAGGCCCUAUGGGCUGUGAACCGCUUUUGCCUGGGGGCAAUAAGGGCGUCGCGCACGUCCGAUGAGAGUACCAGGCGAAUAAGCAUCGGCUAACUCCGUG